rnacentral:rRNA from 1 species
AUACGGAGGAUCCGAGCGUUAUCCGGAUUUAUUGGGUUUAAAGGGUGCGCAGGCGGGAGAUUAAGUCGGCGGUGAAAUUUUGCAGCUCAACUGUAAAAGUGCCUUCGAAAAUGGUUUCCUUGAGUGUAGAUGAAGUAGGCGGAAUUUGUGGUGUAGCGGUGAAAUGCAUAGAUAUCACGAGGAACUCCGAUUGCGCAGGCAGCUUACUAAACUACUGCUGACGCUCAGGCACGAAGGCGUUGGGAUCAAACAGGAUUAGAUACCCUGGUAGUCCACGCAGUAAACGAUGAUUACUAGCUGUUUGCGAUACAAUGUAAGCGGCUGAGCGAAAGCGUUAAGUAAUCCACCUGGGGAGUACGUUCGCAAGAAUGAAACUCAAAUGAAUUGACGGGG